rnacentral:rRNA from 1 species
CACUUUUCACUCAAGUUAACCCCGACGAAGGCAUAAAGAGGUAAAGGGGAUAAAUAAGGAAGGUGGUAUAAGGGCUAACCUAUAUAAGGGGCAUUUGAACAUCCUACGCCUAGUCUAAUCCUGCUGUAAUCCUGGAACUAGAAAUUUAGGGCAUGGACAGGGAUUUGAUACCCCAUUACUCCUAGACGUAAAUUGGUGCCUGGGAACUACGAACCGCUGUUUAAAACCCAAAGAACUUGGCGGUGAUACAGAUCAAUCUAGGGGAGCAUGACUGUUAAUUCGAUAUUCCGCGAAAAUCUUACCUUUUCUUGCAAUCAGCUUGUAUACCGUCGUUGUCAGUUUUUCUUGUGAAGGGGGAAAAGGAGACCCAAUCUACAAGUGUGGUAAGGCGGGGGCCCUCAAAACACUGCUAGAUGACUUCAGAUAAACGUGCAGCCUAUGAAAAGGGCUUGGUUUUGCUACAAUUCUCUUGGAACACGAAGCUCGAGAAAAGUGUCUCUUGAAAAAGGGGGGCGAAGGUGGACUUAGCAGUAAACAGAACUAUCUUGAAUAUCAGUGGUUGUAUCGCGU